rnacentral:siRNA from 1 species
UUACACUAAUAGUCUAGUAGUA